UACGUAGGGUGCGAGCGUUGUCCGGAAUUACUGGGCGUAAAGAGCUUGUAGGUGGUUUGUCGCGUUGUCCGUGAAAACUCACAACUCAAUUGUGGGCGUGCGGGCGAUACGGGCAGACUGGAGUACUGCAGGGGAGACUGGAAUUCCUGGUGUAGCGGUGGAAUGCGCAGAUAUCAGGAGGAACACCAGCGGCGAAGGCGGCGCUCUGGGCCGGAACUGACGCUGAGGAGCGAAAGCGUGGGUAGCAAACAGG
rnacentral:rRNA from 1 species